rnacentral:pre_miRNA from 9 species
ACGUAUCUCUAGUUUGUGCGUGAAUCGAGCCCCAUCAUCAAGGCCGUUCAUUUUGAGGCCCCACGAAUCCAAUGGUGUUAGAUUCACGCACAAACUCGUGAUCUGUCU